GAUGAACGCUGGCGGCGUGCCUAAUACAUGCAAGUCGAGCGAACAGACGAGGAGCUUACUCCUCUGACGUUAGCGGCGGACGGGUGAGUAACACGUGGAUAACCUACCUAUAAGACUGGGGUAACUUCGGGAAACCGGAGCUAAUACCGGAUAACAUGUUGAACCGCAUGGUUCAACAGUGAAAGACGGUCUUGCUGUCACUUAUAGAUGGAUCCGCGUCGCAUUAGCUAGUUGGUAAGGUAACGGCUUACCAAGGCAACGAUGCGUAGCCGACCUGAGAGGGUGAUCGGCCACACUGGAACUGAGACACGGUCCAGACUCCUACGGGAGGCAGCAGUAGGGAAUCUUCCGCAAUGGGCGAAAGCCUGACGGAGCAACGCCGCGUGAGUGAAGAAGGUCUUCGGAUCGUAAAACUCUGUUAUUAGGGAAGAACAAAUGUGUAAGUAACUAUGCACGUCUUGACGGUACCUAAUCAGAAAGCCACGGCUAACUACGUG
rnacentral:rRNA from 1 species